UACAUGCUGAUUGCCUAUCCUGGGUCAUGUGUGAUCCCUGGACCGAUCACCAUGGCCAGGUAGGUAGUGUAUUCUGACUAGCUCUACCGGAUUCUAUGUCCAUCCCUGAAAUAAUCACCAUGGCCAGGUAGGUAGUGUAUUCUGAUUGGGUAUCCUGGUUCAUGUGCCUAUCCCUAAAAUAAUCACCAUGGCCAAGUAUAUAGUGUAUUCUGACUAGAUAACUGGGGUCAUGUGUCCAUCCCUGAACCAAUCACCAUGGCCAGGAAGGUGGUGAAUUCUGACUGGCUCUCCUGUGUCAUGGGCCCAUCCCCGAAAUAAUCACCAUAGCCAGGUAGGUAGUGAAUUCUGAUUGGGUAUCCUGGGUUAUGUGUCCAUCCCCGAACUAAUUACGAUGGCCCAGGAGGUAGGGUAUUCUGAUGGGCUAUCUUAGGUCAUGUGCCUAUCCCUGAAUCACUCUCCAUGGCUGGGUAGGCAGUGUCUUCUGCUUGGCUUUCCUCUAUCAUGUGGCUACUUCUAGACCAAUCACCAUGUCCAGAUAGGUACUGUAUUCUGUUUGGCUAUCCUGGGUAAUGUGGCUAUCCCUGGACCACUCAUAAUGGCUAAGUAGGUGGUAAAUUCUGGGUAAUGGCUAUCCCGGGUCAUGUGUCCAUCGCUGAACUAAUCAGCAUGGCCCAGGAGGUAGUGUACUAUGAUUGGCUAUCUUGGGUCAUGUGACUAUCCCUGGACCAAAAAUCAUGGACAGGUAGGUAGUGUUCUGAUUGGCUGUCCUGGGUCAUGUGCCCAUCCCCGGAGCAAUCACUGAUGCAAGGUAGCUAUUGUAUUCUGAUUGACUCUCCUGGAUGAUAUGCCUAUUCACGAACCAGGGACCAUGCCCAGUCAGGUGGUAUAUUCUGACUUACUACCCUGGAUCAUGUGUCCAAAACUGAAAUGAUCACCACUGCCAGGUGGGUAGUGUAUUCUAAUUGACUCUCCUGAGUCUUAUAUCAAUCCCUGGACCAAUCACUGUGGCCAGGUAGGUAGUAUAUUCUGACUGGCUAUCAUGGGUCAUGUGUCCAUUCCUGACCACAUCGCCAUUGCAGGUAGGUAGUGUAUUCUGAUUGCCUCCCCUGGAUCAAGUGGCUAGCCCUGGACUAAUCAUGAUGGCUACGUAGUCGGUGAAUUCUGAUUCACUAUCCUGGAUCAUGUGACUACACUUGGAUGAAUCACCAUGGCAAGGUCAUGUGCCUAUCCCUGGACUCAUCACCAUGGCCCCUACUUGGUGAAUUUGAUUGGCUAUCCUGGAUCAUGUGACUACCCUUGGACCAAUCACCGUGGCAAGGUCAUGUGCCUAUCCCUGGACUAAUCACCAUGGCCACCUAGUUCAUGAAUUCUGAUUGGCUGUCCUGGAUCAUAUGACUCCCCUUUGACCAAUCACUAUGACAAGGUAGGAAGUGUAUUCUGAUUGGCUCCUCUGGGACAUGACCAUGGGCCUAGCCCUGACCCAAUCACCAGAGCCAGGUAGCUAGUGUAUUCUGAUAGCUCUCCUGGGUCAUAUGGCUAGCCUUGGACUAGUCACUUUGGUUAGGUAGGCAGUGUAUUCUGAUUGGAUGUCCUGUCAUGUGCCUAACCCUAGACCAAUCACCAGGGGCAGGAGGUAGUGGAUUCUGAUUGACCUUCAUAGGUCAUGUGCCUAACCCUGGACUAAUUACCAUGGCCACAUAGUUGGUGAGUUCUCAUCGGCUAUCCAGGAUCAUGUGACUACCCUGGGACCAAUCACCAUGGUAAGGUAGGUAGUAUAUUCCUUUUGGCUCUCCUGGGUCAUGUGCCUACCCCUGAACCAAUCAGCAUGGCCAGGUAUGUAGUGUGUUCUGGUGGCUCUUCUGGGUCCUAUGGCUAGCCCUAGCCUAUCCCCUCAGCCACAUUGUAGUGUAUUCUGAUUGGGUGUCUUGGGCCAUUUGGCUAGCCCUGGACCAAGCACCAUGUCCAGGAGGUAGUGUAUUCUGACUGGCUCUCAUAGGUCAUGUGCCUAUCACUGGACUCAUCACCAUGGCCCCUACUUGGUGAAUUCGAUUGAAUGUCCUGAAUCAUGUGAUUACCAUCAGACCAAUCACCAAGGUAAGGUACGUAGUGUAUUCCUUUUGGCUCGCUGGGGUCAGGUGCCUAUCCCUGGACCAAUCAUCAGGGCCAGGUAGGUAGUGUAUUCUGAUUGGUUGUCCUGGGUCAUGUGGCUAGCACUGGACCCAUCACCCUGGCCAGGAGGUAGUGUAUGGUAUUGGCUCUCAUAGGUUAUGUCCCUAUCCCUAGACCUAUCACCAUGGCCACUAGUUGGUGAAUUCUGAUUGGCUAUCCUGGAUCAUGUGACUACCUUCAACCAAUCACCAUGGUAAGUUAGCUAGUAUAAUCUGAUUGGCUCUGCUGGGUCAUGUGCCUAGCCCUGGACCAAUCACCAGGUCCAAGAAAGUACUGUAUUUUGAUUGGCUCUCUUGGGUGAUGUUGCUUGCCCUGGGCCAGUCACCUCGGCCACAAAGGUAGUGUAUUGUCACUGGCUCUUAUGGGUCUUGGGGCUAGGCUUGGACCAAUCACCUUGGCCAGGUAGGUAGUGUAUUCAGAUUGGUAUCCUGGGUCAUAACCUAUCUCUGGACCAAUCACCAUAGCCAGGAGGUAGUGUAUUCUGAUUGGAUCACAUAGAUCCUAUCCUAUCCCUGGACUAAUCACCAUGGCCAUGUAGUUGGUGAAUUCUGAUUGGUUAUACUGGAUCAUGUGAAUCCCCUUGGACCAAUAACCAUAGCAAGGUAGGAAGUGUAUUCAGAUUGGCUCCCAUGGGUCAUGUGCCUAGCCCUGGACCAAUCACCAGCACCAGGUAGGUAGUGUAUUCUGAUUGGAAAUUCUGGGUCAUGUGGCUAGCCCUGGACAAAUCACUGAGGCCAGGAGGUACUGUAUUAUGAUUGGCCCUCAUAGGUCAUGUGCCUACACUGGACUGGUCACCAUGGCCACAUAGUUGGUGAAUUCUGAUUAGCUAUCCUGGAUCAUGUGACUACCCUUGGACCAAUCACUGUGGCAAGGUAGGUAGUGUAUACUGAUUGGUGCUCUUGGGUGAUGUUGCUAGCCCUGGACCAAUCACCUCCGGCAUGAAGAUAGUAUAUUCUGAUUGACUCUCUUGGGUCUUGUGGCUAGGCCUGGACAAAUCACCUCAGUCAGGUAGGCAGUUUAUUCUGAUUGCAUACCUUGGGUCAUACCCUAUCCCUGGACCAAUAACCAUAGCCAGGAGGUAGUGUAUUCUGUUUGGCUCCCAUAGGUCAUGUGCUUAUCCCUGGAGGAAUCACCAUGGCCACCGAGUUGGUGAAAUCUGUUUCCCUAUCCUGGAUCAUGUGACUCCCCUUGGACCAAUCAUCAUGGCAAGGUAGGAAGUGUAUUCUGAUUGGUGCCUCUGGGUCAUGUGACUAGCCCUGGACCAAUCACCAGCAACAGGUAGGUAGUGUAUUCUGACGGGCUUUCUUGGGUCAUGUGCUAGCCCUGGCCCAGUCAGUUCUGCUAGGUAGGGAGUGUAUUGUGGUUGGAUAUCCUGGGUCAUAUGCCUACCCCUGGACCAAUCACCAUAGCCAGGAGGUAGUGAAUUCUGAUUUGCACUCACAGGUCAUGUGCCUAUCCCUGGAGUAAUCACCAUGGCCACUUAGUUGGUGAAUUCUUAUUGGCUAAUCUGGAUCAUGUGUCCACCAUUGGACCAAUCACCAUGGCAAGGGAGGAAGUGUAUUCUGAUUGGCUCCCCAGGGUCAUGUGCUUAGCUGUGAACCAAUCGCCAGGGCCAGGUAGCUAGUGUAUUCUGAUUGGCUCUCUUGGGUCAUGUGGCUAGCCCUGGACCAGUCACUUUGGCUAGGUAGGCAGUGGAUUCUCAUUGGAUGUCCUGGGUCAUGUGGAUAGCCUUGGACCAAUGACCAGGGGCAGGAGGUAGUGGAUGCUGAUUGGCCCUCCUAGGUCACGUGCCUCUCCCUGGACUAAUCACCAUGGCUACAUAGUUGCUGAAUUCUGAUUGGCUAUCCUGGAUCAUGUGACUACCCUUGGACCAUUCACCAUGGCUAGGUAGGUAGUGUAUUCCUUUUGGCUCUCCUGGGUCAUGUGCCUAUUCCUGGACUAAUCACCAUGGCAAGGUAUGUAGUGCAUUCUGGUUGGCUCUCCUGGGUCAUGUGGCUAGCCCUAGACCUAUCACCUUGCCCACAUAGGUAGUGUAUUCUAUUGGCUGUCUUGGGUCAUAUGGCUAGUCCUGGACCCAUCACCUGACCAUGUAGGUAGUGUAUUCUGAUUGGAUAUCCUUGGUCAUUUGGCUAGCCCUGGACGAAUCACUGUGGCCAUGUAAUUGGUGAAUUCUCAUUGGCUAUCCUGGAACAUGUGACUACCCUUGGACCAAUCACCAUGGCAAGAGACAGUGUGAGCAGGGGAGAGGCAGAGAGAGAGAGGAAGACACAUUAUCCGAAGCAGGCUCCAGG